CUUUCAAUGAAUAUCUCUGAUCAAAUGGAGUUACUUUUAAAUUCUGAAAUACUUGAAUGACAAUAUCUUUUCAAUGAGCAAAGUGAUAUAUCUUUUAUGAUUGCUAUAUUGAGGGGGAGUAAAACAAUAAGCAAUAAAGAAACAAGCAACAAAGAAGGAAGCUAAAGAUGUAAAAUCGAUCCCAUCAAAAGGAAGGAAUAGAGAAAAUAUAUUCAAGAAAAGGGGAA
rnacentral:lncRNA from 1 species